GUGUUAGAGUUAAAGAAAUAAAAAGAUAUUUUAUAAAGUUAAGAAAUUUAAAUCAGUCAAAUAAUGAUUAAAUACGUUACUGUAAAAAUGUUGAAAAAUAAAUAAUCCACUUGGGUACAUGAGAAUCAACAAAUAUCCGCAAUGAUUGUUGGAAAUCAACAGCACAUAUAAGGUGUUCUCAAAUUAGACGACAGGAAUACGAUCGACAAGAACACUAUAUUUUCUGGGGCAAUGAAGACACGUCCCGUUUUGGAAGCCUUGCUCAACAAUAAUACGAGGCUGCCGCUCUCCAUACCUCAUAUUUAGUCUUUUUGAAUUAAGCGUGCUUCCACUGUUGAUCGUGAAUCUAUUAAGCCUUUCGUUUUCAGGUGUGGCUCCCCAUUCUUUACAUAUACAAAAUCUAAUUGUUUAUAACUGUAUAAAUUCAAUUUGAUUUAUUUUAAUAUAUACUUGGAUUGGAUUUGGAUUAUACGAACAUUGAGAGUCCAAAUCAUUAGGGCUCAUCAUGGGCUUGCAUGGAAAGGAUCAAUCUACUAGUCCUUGGGUCCAUUAAAUUAAAGUAUUUUCUUCUUAA